rnacentral:tmRNA from 1 species
GGGGAUGACUUGGAUUCGACGCCGGUAACGAAACCAUGGGUGCAUGCCGUGAUGGCAGCCAAUCACGUAAAUCCAAAGCUGCAAUUUAAUAGUUGCCAACGACGACAACUACGCUCUGGCGGCUUAAGCCCGCCAGCAGUCUUCAGCAAGGUUCCAGUACCGCGCUGCUGACUGUCAGAUAGAACUGGAUCGCCGUGAAGUUUGUCUGGGAUGGAUCGGCUAAAUCUUUACAGACUCGCUCAUAACGUCCUGCCCGCCGGGCUGUUGUGAGUUAAAUCAAUAGACGGAACUAAGCAUGUAGAGCCUCUGGCGGAGUGCUGACGGACGCGGGUUCGACUCCCGCCAUCUCCACCA